rnacentral:lncRNA from 1 species
UUGGUUUCUGACUGGUUGCUCUUUGAACUUUGCAGAUACUCCCAUGAGUCCGCCCGUUGUGGCAACGUCUUCUCGCUCGGACAAGGGGAAGUCCUCACGAAUGGAUGAGUCGUUGGUGGCCAGCUUGGCUGAGGGUGCGCCAUCUUCUACGAUUGUCGACGAGGUAGUUUUUCUCUUUGUCCCAUUCCUAUUUCCAACUUGUUUGUUGUAACGAAUAUUUUUAAUGUUGACAAUCUUCUUUGCAGGAUGCUAACAGGAUUGUUCGUUCUAUUCAGGAUUUGUUCGCUUCCUGGGGGCAGGUCCAAAUGCCUCGCCCUACUCCAUAUGAUCGUUCUGCUGCUUCUUCAGAAGAGGACUUGAAGUUCUUGAAGGAGUUGGUAUUUGAGUACGUAUCCUUCAUGGACAUGGACAUUGGAAGGGCUAGUGUUGCCAGACACAAGGAUGAACUUGAACGCUUGAGUGCGAAAUUAGAGCAAGCACUGACGCUUCCGUCGCUCAAUCUUUCUGCCGACUUUAAAGCGACGUUGAAGGUCAUUCACUCCGAGGUCCUUACUAUGCUGGCCAAGAAUGCUGAACUAAAGGCCAAGCGUACUCAAUAUCUUCGAGCCGUAGCCGAGAAAGAGUCUCUGUGCUUGGAGAUCAACAAGGCUAAGGACGAGUUGCAAGAAAUCUCUUCCGAAGUCAUGAUUGAAGACUCCUUAAUGGUUAGUUUGGCUGCUCAGAUGAGGGAACUUCAAGCCAAAAUGGACGAUUGCAGGGCGAGGAUGGCCGCUAAAAAGCGCAACGCCUCUCAGGGAAUUGAGCGAACUAAAUCCUUGGUCGAACAGUACAAGAAGCUGGAGGUUGAUGAUGAUGACGUUGCGGCUGAAUUGAACAUCACUACCUCCCGACAGAACGAGGAUUGGGAAAAACUUAGGGAACGAAUUCGUUCCUUAUGGGGUAGUAUGUAAUUAAGACACACGAUGUCUUUUCUUUUUUGUAAUUUUGUUCCUUAUUAAUGAACAUUAAUUUCUUGUGCAUUUAUUUGAUGUUUAUUUUCUAAUCAUCAAUUCUUUAAGCAUUUAACUG